rnacentral:rRNA from 1 species
UACGAAGGGGGCUAGCGUUGUUCGGAAUCACUGGGCGUAAAGCGCACGUAGGCGGAUUUUUAAGUCAGGGGUGAAAUCCCGAGGCUCAACCUCGGAACUGCCUUUGAUACUGGGGAUCUGGAGUCCGGGAGAGGUGAGCGGAACUGCGAGUGUAGAGGUGAAAUUCGUAGAUAUUCGCAAGAACACCAGUGGCGAAGGCGGCUCACUGGCCCGGAACUGGACGCUGAGGUGACGAAAGCGUGGGGAGCAAACAGG